rnacentral:misc_RNA from 1 species
GAAGUGCGAUAAGCAAUGCGAAUUGCAGAAUUCCGCGAAUGAUCAGAUCUUUGAACGCAAAUGACGCCGGAGGGAUAUCCUUUCGGCAUGUCUGUUUCAGUGUCUGAGAGGUUUCACCAAGAUCUUAAUGUGAUUGACGGGGUGACAGUGUGUGUAACUCGCUUACUACUACCACAGUCAAACCAUCUCUCAUGAAAGAUGGGUACGUGGAUCUUUCGGUCCAAUGAAGUGGUCACAUCACUCGCAUGUGAUUUCAUUGGAAAAUCACCGAAUUAUCCGUAUACGUGCCGUAACUUACAACAACAACCAAACCUUCCAUACCCUGCCUCUGAGAUAGGCAAGAUCACCCGCUGAACUUAA